rnacentral:rRNA from 1 species
AUCCCGUCCGAUCUCCGAAGUUAAACCUGUAACGGCACGGUCAGUACUGUGGUGGGAGACCACAUGGGAAUACCGUGUACUGCAGUUU